CGUGCUUGCGAGAUAAAUCAAUUAAAGUCAGGCGGCAUACACUUAUGGUGUUGACUCACUUGAUCCUAAAUGAUAUGGUAAAAGUUAAAGGUCAAGUUUGUGAAAUAGCUAUGUGCUUGGAGGAUGAGGAAAGCCGCAUAAGAGACAUGU
rnacentral:ribozyme from 1 species